GAGUUUGAUCAUGGCUCAGAUUGAACGCUGGCGGCAGGCCUAACACAUGCAAGUCGAGCGGCAGCACGGGGAGCUUGCUCCCUGGUGGCGAGCGGCGGACGGGUGAGUAAUGCAUGGGAAUCUGCCCGGUAGUGGGGGAUAACCCGGGGAAACCCGGGCUAAUACCGCAUACGUCCUACGGGAGAAAGCAGGGGAUCUUCGGACCUUGCGCUAUCGGAUGAGCCCAUGUCGGAUUAGCUUGCUGGUGAGGUAACGGCUCACCAGGGCGACGAUCCGUAGCUGGUCUGAGAGGAUGAUCAGCCACACCGGGACUGAGACACGGCCCGGACUCCUACGGGAGGCAGCAGUGGGGAAUAUUGGACAAUGGGGGAAACCCUGAUCCAGCCAUGCCGCGUGUGUGAAGAAGGCUUUCGGGUUGUAAAGCACUUUCAGCGGGGAAGAAGGCAUGGCGGUUAAUACCCGCCAUGAGGGACAUCACCCGCAGAAGAAGCACCGGCUAACUCCGUGCCAGCAGCCGCGGUAAUACGGAGGGUGCAAGCGUUAAUCGGAAUUACUGGGCGUAAAGGGCGCGUAGGCGGCCUGCCAAGCCGGAUGUGAAAGCCCCGGGCUCAACCCGGGAACGGCAUUCGGAACUGGCAGGCUAGAGUGCAGGAGAGGAAGGUGGAAUUCCCGGUGUAGCGGUGAAAUGCGUAGAGAUCGGGAGGAAUACCAGUGGCGAAGGCGGCCUUCUGGACUGACACUGACGCUGAGGCGCGAAAGCGUGGGUAGCAAACAGGAUUAGAUACCCUGGUAGUCCACGCCGUAAACGAUGUCGACCAGCCGUUGGACCCCCUGAGGGUCUGGUGGCGCAGUUAACGCAAUAAG
rnacentral:rRNA from 1 species